rnacentral:tmRNA from 1 species
GGGGACGACCUGGCUUCGACGUGGGUUGCAAAACCUGAGGUGCAUGUCGAGGAACAGAUUACCUCGUAAAUCCAGUCUGUAACUUUAUAGUUGCCAACGACGACAACUACGCACUAGCUGCCUAAGAAACAGCGCAGAGCCUUCCGCCUUCGUGUGCUUAUGCGGGGAGAUCACGGGAGUCAAACAACAUAAGAUCGCGAUUUUGAAAUUGUCUGGUUUCAAUACGCUAAAACCUACAGAAUCGUCAAAUGUUUACCUUGCCUAUCGGGGCGCAUUUCGAUUAAAUUAAAUGUAUAGGAUAAGCAUGUAGAGCCAAUGGCAGAGGAUUUGCGGACGGGGGUUCGAUUCCCCCCGCCUCCACAA